rnacentral:rRNA from 1 species
AUUGAACGCUGGCGGCAUGCCUUACACAUGCAAGUCGAACGGUAACAGGUCUUCGGAUGCUGACGAGUGGCGAACGGGUGAGUAAUAUAUCGGAACGUGCCCAGUCGUGGGGGAUAACGCAGCGAAAGCUGUGCUAAUACCGCAUACGAUCUAUGGAUGAAAGCGGGGGAUCGCAAGACCUCGCGCGAUUGGAGCGGCCGAUAUCAGAUUAGGUAGUUGGUGGGGUAAAGGCCCACCAAGCCAACGAUCUGUAGCUGGUCUGAGAGGACGACCAGCCACACUGGAACUGAGACACGGUCCAGACUCCUACGGGAGGCAGCAGUGGGGGAUAUUGCACAAUGGAGGAAACUCUGAUGCAGCGACGCCGCGUGAGGGAAGAAGGCCUUCGGGUUGUAAACCUCAGUAGUCAGGGACGAAGAAAUGACGGUACCUGAAGAGUAAGCUCCGGCUAACUACGUG